UAUAUUUGCAAAUGAAAAACUGAACUAUAGUCUGAUUCAGUGUCUCAGGCAUACAGGCUUGUUUUUGGGUGUCUGUUUACCAGGCUACGGAAUUCUAUUAUGAGAGAAUCUAUGAGAGAAUCGAUGCUAUUUUUAGAAGACGACAGCAACGUUGGCAAAAGAUAUGUGUAGUAGUCUUUUUUUGUUUACUUUUAGUAAAAGUUUGGUAUUGAGCCUAGGAUGACAAUAUCUCAGCUUGCAAUCUAAUUUACUCAGAUAUGUAUUUUGGCAUGCUGUAUUGUCGUAUGCAAAACAACAGUAGUCUAAGUUAGAAUAAUGGGAGCAAAGGGUGAUAUUUAAAGAGGCUGUGGCCACACAAGGCUCACCAUUUCAAAGGCCAAGGCUUAGCCACAGAUAGUGUUCUUGGGGUGAUGCACUCCCAUGACUAAGGUCUGCAGAAGGGACAGGGUUUGAUUUUGUCUUCUUUUGUUUUGAAAUCUGUUGUACACAAUAUUUCAAAGAACUCUGCUGAGUAUGUUCCACUUCAGAAGUGCAUACGCCUAAAGCCCCAGGCAUGGACUUAAGAGUCUGGGGAAAUACUGAAGUCUGCUCUAACCAGAACAGAAGAGCGCUGAGGAGACAUGAGGUGUUUUAAUUAAGACUCUGAAGAAGAAAGAAAGCAUUUGGGUAUGAGCCAGGGUACCUUACGUAAGGAGAAAGAAGCUGAUUGACAUCUAGAUGUUUCAAACUGAUCUGCUGCUCUUAAUGGAGUCAGGACGUCUUGUUGCUCACAUGGAGACUUUGAAGACGACCAUUUACGUAGCUUGCUCCAUGGGAACGCUGACAGCCACUGUUACUUUCCCGUACAAAGGAGAAAAGACCUCUUGCAGUGGCUCCUGUAGACCCCAAAAUGACAGGGACAGAGAGAACUGUAGAUGUGAAAAACUGUUUAAAAAUGAGUUUACACGCCAUCCAGACGUGUUCUCAAAGAUGCUGAAAAGUGCAAGGCUAGACUUUUUCUCUGAACAUCAGCAGUCUGAUAACGAUGAAGAAGGUUUGGGAAGACCAGGUUCUC
rnacentral:lncRNA from 1 species